GUCGCGGCCAAGUGGGUCACCGCACGCUCUUUCCCCCACCAUGCCAUGUCUGCCGUGGACUCGUGGCUGUUCUGUGCCAAGCUCGCCCGCCAAUUUAUGAAGGGUUGGGGAGCAAACCUUGGUAGAGACCUCCACGAACGCAAGAAAGCCCUCCUAACUGCCAUCUGGGCCUUGGACACCCGUGUGGACACUUCCAGGAUUUCCACGGAUGAGUGGAUGCUGCGUUAUGAUCUUGAGGAUCAGCUCUCCACCAUCUAUACGGAUGAAGAAGCUUACUGGAGGCUCUGUGGUACCCAAUGAUGGGUGCUUCGGGGAGACACUAAUACAGCAUACUUCCAGGCGGCCGCGAAUGGGCGGCGAUGACGGAACUCCAUCCAUUGCCUUUGGGAUGGAGAUUCCUAGCUUGUCCGCCCAUCGGACAUUCGUGCACACGUAGAUGGCUUUUACAAAGACCUAUUCUUCCCCACCCCUUAG
rnacentral:rRNA from 1 species